rnacentral:tRNA from 1 species
AGGGGAUGUGGUUUAGUGGUAUAAUACUCCCUUAGCAUGGGAGUGGUCCAGGGUUCGAUUCCCUGCAUCUCCAA